CACGAGGGUCUCACUGUCUUAAGGAAAUUUCCAGUGAAAUUGAAUUUGUAGUGAAGAUGCUACAUCCAAAUUGUUAGACAAAAAGUCCCCAUGGAACUUUACUGGAGACUUAUGUGGCUUAAAUUAAUUUAUUUCUUACAAAUAAAUAGUUUUAAAAUGUGGUGUUAACCCCUCGGAUCAAUUAGGGUUAUAAAAGCUCACUCUUUUAUUUAAAGAAAGCCAACUCAAAAAGUUAUGUCUUUGGGAUGUGAUAAGUGGGACAGUUUGGUUGGGGCGACCGCCUUUAAAAAAGUAACGAAGGCGGGCUUAAGAUACAUAUUUAGUGAUGUCUGACUGCCAAGGGGAGAUCCUGAGCAGACACUUAUUUUUUAGGUGGGUUUAAGUGACCCGUUGAUUUAGGGUGAAAUAGUUAACGAUAAACA
rnacentral:rRNA from 4 species